GACGAACGCUGGCGGCGUGCCUAAUACAUGCCAGUAGAACGCUGAAGGAGGAGCUUGCUUCUAUGGAUGAGUUGCGAACGGGUGAGUAACGCGUAGGUAACCUGCCUGGUAGGGGGGGAUAACUAUUGGAAACGAUAGCUAAUACCGCAUAAUAGUAGAUGGUGCAUGACAUUUGCCUAAAAGGUGCAAUUGCAUCACUACCAGAUGGACCUGCGUUGUAUUAGCUAGUUGGUGGGGUAACGGCUCACCAAGGCGACGAUACAUAGCCGACCUGAGAGGGUGAUCGGCCAAACUGGGACUGAGACACGGCCCAGACUCCUACGGGAGGCAGCAGUAGGGAAUCUUCGGCAAUGGACGGAAGUCUGACCGAGCAACGCCGCGUGAGUGAAGAAGGUUUUCGGAUCGUAAAGCUCUGUUGUAAGAGAAGAACGAGUGUGAGAGUGGAAAGUUCACACUGUGACGGUAUCUUACCAGAAAGGGACGGCUAACUACGUG
rnacentral:rRNA from 1 species